UACGUAGGGGGCAAGCGUUGUCCGGAUUUAUUGGGCGUAAAGCGCGUGUAGGCGGCCCGGUAAGUCCGCUGUGAAAGUCCAGGGCUCAACCCUGGGAUGCCGGUGGAUACUGUCGGGCUCGAGUCCGGAAGAGGCGAGUGGAAUUCCUGGUGUAGCGGUGAAAUGCGCAGAUAUCAGGAAGAACACCAAUGGCGAAGGCAGCUCUCUGGGACGGUACUGACGCUGAGACGCGAAAGCGUGGGGAGCGAACAGG
rnacentral:rRNA from 1 species